rnacentral:tRNA from 1 species
GGGUGCAGCUCAGUGGUGGAGCGCUUUCCUAGCACGUGUGAGGCCCUGGGUUCAAUACCCAGGGCCA